UACGGGGGGGGGGUAAGCGUUGUUCGGAAUUACUGGGCGUAAAGGGCUCGUAGGCGCCAACUAAGUCAGACGUGAAAUCCCUCAGCUUAACUGGGGAACUGCGUCUGAUACUGGAUGGCUUGGAUUUGGGAGAGGGAUGCGGAAUUCCAGGUGUAGCGGUGAAAUGCGUAGAUAUCUGGAGGAACACCGGUGGCGAAGGCGGCAUCCUGGACCAAUAUUGACGCUGAGGAGCGAAAGCCAGGGGAGCAAACGGG
rnacentral:rRNA from 1 species